rnacentral:rRNA from 1 species
GACGAACGCUGGCGGCGUGCUUAACACAUGCAAGUCGAACGGUAAGGCCCCUUCGGGGGUACACGAGUGGCGAACGGGUGAGUAACACGUGAGCAACCUGCCCUUGACACUGGAAUAACAGUUGGAAACAGCUGCUAAUGCCAGAUAUGACCUUCGGUGGCAUCGCCCGAAGGUGGAAAGUGCUUAGCGGUCAAGGAUGGGCUCGCGGCCUAUCAGCUUGUUGGUGAGGUAACGGCUCACCAAGGCUUCGACGGGUAGCCGGCCUGAGAGGGCGACCGGCCACACUGGGACUGAGAUACGGCCCAGACUCCUACGGGAGGCAGCAGUGGGGAAUAUUGCACAAUGGGCGCAAGCCUGAUGCAGCAACGCCGCGUGCGGGAUGACGGCCUUCGGGUUGUAAACCGCUUUCAGUUCCGACGAAGCGCAAGUGACGGUAGGAACAGAAGAAGGACCGGCCAACUACGUGCCAGCAGCCGCGGUGAUACGUAGGGUCCGAGCGUUGUCCGGAAUUAUUGGGCGUAAAGGGCUUGUAGGCGGUUUGUCACGUCGAAAGUGGAAACUCAGGGCUUAACCCUGAGCCUGCUUCCGAUACGGGCAAACUAGAGGAAUGCAGGGGAGAAUGGAAUUCCUGGUGGAGCGGUGGAAUGCGCAGAUAUCAGGAGGAACACCGGUGGCGAAGGCGGUUCUCUGGGCAUUUNCUGACGCUGAGAAGCGAAAGCGUGGGGAGCAAACAGGCUUAGAUACCCUGGUAGUCCACGCCGUAACGGUGGGCACUAUGUGUGGGGAACAUUCCACGUUCUNCGUGCCGAAGCUAACGCAUUAAGUGCCCCGCCUGGGGAGUACGGCGCAGGCUAA